GGGGAAUAUUGCACAAUGGGCGAAAGCCUGAUGCAGCAACGCCGCGUGAGUGAUGAAGGUCUUCGGAUUGUAAAGCUCUGUCUUUUGGGACGAUAAUGACGGUACCAAAGGAGGAAGCCACGGCUAACUACGUGCCAGCAGCCGCGGUAAUACGUAGGUGGCGAGCGUUGUCCGGAUUUACUGGGCGUAAAGGGUGCGUAGGCGGAUGUUUAAGUGAGAUGUGAAAUACCCGGGCUUAACUUGGGUGCUGCAUUUCAAACUGGAUAUCUAGAGUGCAGGAGAGGAGAAUGGAAUUCCUAGUGUAGCGGUGAAAUGCGUAGAGAUUAGGAAGAACACCAGUGGCGAAGGCGAUUCUCUGGACUGUAACUGACGCUGAGGCACGAAAGCGUGGGUAGCAAACAGGAUUAGAUACCCUGGUAGUCCACGCCGU
rnacentral:rRNA from 1 species